AACUCAUGGGCCACAGUUGAUGACGUAACACGCCGACAACGUAGAACUGUGGGAUGACGUCCUUCCUUCUUCCUUUCCUCAACUUCAGGCGAGAAUGAAGACCAUUCUCAGCAACCAGACAGUUGACAUCCCCGACAACGUCGAAGUGACGUUGAAAGGCAGGACGGUGGUUGUCAAGGGGCCCCGCGGUGUGCUGCGCCGGGAAUUCAACCACAUUAACCUGGAACUCAGUCUCCUGGGCAGGAAGCGUAAGAAGCUCCGUGUCGAUAAAUGGUGGGGUAACAGGAAGGAGCUGGCCACCGUGCGCACCAUCUGCAGCCACGUCCAGAACAUGAUCAAGGGGGUGACCCUGGGCUUCCGCUACAAGAUGAGAUCUGUGUAUGCUCACUUCCCCAUCAACGUGGUGAUGCAGGAGAACGGCACCCUGGUGGAGAUCAGGAACUUCCUGGGGGAGAAGUACAUCCGACGGGUCCGCAUGAGGCCAGGUGUGACCUGCACAGUGUCAGCAGCCCAGAAGGACGAGCUGGUUCUGGAGGGUAAUGACAUUGAGCUGGUGUCCAACUCAUCCGCCCUCAUCCAACAGGCAACCACAGUCAAAAAUAAGGAUAUCAGGAAAUUCUUGGACGGUAUUUACGUGUCCGAGAAGGGAACUGUUUUGGACCCGGAUCAGUGAGCAGUGUAGAGCUGCCCUCAUCCAGCAGGCCACGACUGUGAGGAAGAAGGAUAUCCGCAAGUUCCUGGACGGUAUCUAUGUCAGCGAGAAGAGCACUGUCGUGGAGCAGCAGGAAGCUUAAGCCUUUAACCUGUCAAUAAUAAAUUACUUUAUACCACAGUCAUGAUCUCUGUGUCUUUUACCCUGUCCUUGCGGUUUGUGAGCUCAUGGCAGAUGUGAAUGCACAUCAUGCUGGAUAUCUUGGAAGUAUCAUGACUAUGGAGUGGUGGUUGUUUCAAGGGAGAGUUGUUUUGGAUGCAGUACUGGACAGCUCUAUCAGCUGUAGUUAAUAUACGUGCAGGACACGACAAUCAUAUCGUGCAGUAAAUGAAUCUUUGAUCUACUGAAAGCCCAGUGCAAGUCAACAUGGCACAAAAAACAGCAAAUGUAACCAGUGAAAGUCGUGUUCUCGAUGUGCUGUGAUCGGAUAGAUAUCUUACUAGCUCCCGGAGGGAAACUAGGGAUCACUGAUUGCAGCUUGACGACUUAAGUUUACAUUUUUGGUAGAGAAUAAAGUUUUUUGUACAGGCUUAGUCGAGGCAGUAUAAAGUGGAUUUGGACUAAAUUGAUUAAAUUAAUUUGAAAUUUAUGAGUCGGUCCAGUCUGCACACGGUCCGGCUGGACCAGUUCAUGCAGGUACUGACAUUAACAAUGAAGCUACCCACUCGACAUCUCAGGUCUGAUGCUGGGGCGCCAACUUCGGUCAGCUGGCUGGAGCGAGAUUUUCAGUUCGAGACAAGUCUGCAGACAAGCACGUGCACCUGCGUGCAUGUAACAAUGCAUGUAAAUAUUACCUCGCGAUUCGUCUGUAUGGUUUGCAAACUAGCACAAAGAUUUCGAUGUAGCUAAUUUUAGAUGCAUAAUAGAAUAAUAUAGACCUACCGUAAUAUUUCUCGGGUGAGCGCCUGAAAGUUGUCACGCCAGACGCUCCCGGUGUCAGUGCGGCUGCGAGUUGCGUCAUUACGCGGCGCCGCGCGCGACUCGCGUUGGCGCCAAGCGCGCGGGGAGUGUAGCGGCUCCGUGAGUCCGUGUGCCUCCGAUCGUCCGUCCGCCCGCUGCAUCAUGGACAUCCGGAGGUUCUUUGCGCCCAGUAAGCCGGUGGUGCAGAAACCUGCCCAGAACGGAGGCGUCAGAAGCGUUGAGGACCAGAAGAGGAAUAAAGCGAAGCCUGGCUCAAAGG